GCCCGUCUGGAAAAAAAAAAGAAAAAGAAAAUUUGGUCUUGUUUCCGAUCCUUCUCGGAAACAUUCAUCAGGGCACUCCCGCUGUUUGGAGGGGAGCAGCACCAACGCUGUACCAAUUCGAUUUGCCACUGCCAUGAUUUUCCAAGCCGAGGUCAGGAGGCUCGGGCACGUGAUUCAGGAGAGAUGCUUUUUCUUUUUGCCUCGUGGUGUUUUUUUCUAUGCAGAUUUAUGGCUGAGCAUUUGUUUCAUUUCAAGCCUGAAAGUCAGAUGUUGCUGUUCCUGUAUCUCUUGGCAGACAGCUGUAGGAAACACAUCACAUAAAUCGUAAUGUUAGGGUUGCUACUGGGCAAGACUGUGGGUGUCAAACCCAAUGCAUGAGUCACCCUGGUCCCACAUAGGGAAAGCCUCAACUGUGAUGUCAUUCCUGAAGGGGUGCAACUUUGUGACAACACCACAUGACACACUAUUCUGAUGAAAUAUACUGAAAGUGGACAUCAUCGCCUCACAUUUAUUAAAAGUGGAAAGUAGCAAUGUUGGUUUGGCUGAUUUAAGCACAGCAACCCAGACAUUUUUAGACAUGAUAAGCAUAAAACAGGAACUAGAUCAUUCCUCAACGUACAGGGUUGCUUGAUGCUUCGUUUGGCUGCAUGUGACUUGGAUGAUAACAUCAUGCAAAUAGCUUGCAAAGAACCCUUAAGGAGAAGUAGCCACGAGCUACAGUACUUUUAUUAUUAUCACCGAUGAGCUUUCAUUUUGAAGGAAUAAUCAUUUCCCACAACUGAUAAUGCAGAGCACCUGAUUUCAGUUUAUCUGAAGUCAUGAUUGCUUUUUGAGGAGCUGGACUUGCAAAUGUAAACUCCUCAGAUGCAUGCAUGCCAACAAGCUGAGUAUGAAACAAUUCAACAGAAAUGAUCUGCUCAUUCUCUGAAACUGGAGGAACACGGACCUGUGUUUACUAAAGUGUUUUUUUUCCCUGUGUUUUCUGAAGAGAGAUGUUGGCCCAGUUUAACCUUUCAGGCAAUGUCCUCCACGUCAUAAAAGAUGUUUUAAUGAUGAUGGAGCCAGCUCAAAUUGAAUCAAGAUAUUGUCAUAUUUAGAGCCAAUUUUAUAAAUAGGCAAUGUUAAUGGAGUCUCUUGGGCUAUUCACUGUCUGAAGCUGGACUGACAGUGUGGGGCCUUUUGGAUGUGUAGAAAAAACAUUUCAUCUAUCAACACAUGUACUUGACGAUACUGUUGCUGUGUCUUGAGAAUUAAAUCACAAAUUAAGUUACAGGGAUAGCUGAAGGGAUCGCUAAACUCAAAAAUUCCAUCAAGUCAUCCAUGAUCAAACUGAAUUUUAACUAACAAAAUAUCUUGGACCCAGUGAUCGAGUCACUUUAGAAGCUAAAAUUACAGUGAGCUAGCAUCUAACAGUAAUGUCAUCAACGGUCAAAGUAACUUUAGCAUCUUAUUUACUUUUCAGGGUGUGUUUUUGACAGAUGUCUGUUAAAGCAAAACUGGCACUGAACAAGUGCCAGCCUUUAAAACGUCUUUAUCAAUAAAUGACUCCAUCUGUCCAUCUUCCAAGUCCAAAUGCAGACAAUAAUAGAACUUGAGUCAGACUGGAGUCUGGGUCCUAGACUAAAGUAUUACAACACUGAUUAUUUAUUGUGCUCCUUUAUUCCCUCCAUGUUGUUUCUGAUGAUCUACAUUGCAACCAUUUUUUGAAAAAGCUAUCAUAAAAGUUAUCUGAAAAAAUAUAGACUACUGGCAUCUUAUACUCCAGUCAUGUCAAAUGUUUACUUUGUUUUCUGUAAUUUACGAAAGAUCUUCCUGAUUCAUCUUCUGCUCUUCCCAUCAUCCCUUACUGCUCUCCCUUCACCCUGUCAGGCCCUGAGGCCCUGCUGCCUCCCUUCAGGUCUGAGCUGCUGGAGAUCCUGUGAUGGAUGUGGCCCUGGGGCUCUCUGCAGGGGGCCAGCUUCAAGGCUUAACACUCUCUGGUUUCUGCUGGUUCCAAAAGUACCACUACAGUAAAUGCCAAUGGAAGAAGAAGCCAGGUAGAAAUAACAAACAUGACUGAAAAGACAAAGAGAAGCAUAAUAAACAACUUCAGACUGCAAAUUCCAAGGAUAAAUACACCGGAAAGAUAAUUUCAUCGAUUUAGCUGCCCUGUAUCAGUGAUUCUGCCAAGAUUUGAAACAAUAAAGUCAUAUUGUGAAUGCCAA